rnacentral:rRNA from 1 species
CAAUAGCGUAUAUUAAAGUUGUUGCGGUUAAAAAGCUCGUAGUUGGAUUUCUGCUGAGGACGACCGGUCCGCCCUCUGGGUGAGUAUCUGGCUCGGCCUUGGCAUCUUCUUGGAGAACGUUGCUGCACUUGACUGUGUGGCGCGGUAUCCAGGACAUUUACUUUGAGGAAAUUAGAGUGUUUCAAGCAGGCAUACGCCUUGAAUACAUUAGCAUGGAAUAAUAAGAUAGGACCUCGGUUCUAUUUUGUUGGUUUCUAGAGCUGAGGUAAUGAUUAAUAGGGAUAGUUGGGGGCAUUCGUAUUUAACUGUCAGAGGUGAAAUUCUUGGACUUGUUAAAGACGGACUACUGCGAAAGCAUUUGCCAAGGAUGUUUUCAUUGA